rnacentral:tRNA from 1 species
GGAGAUAGAGUUCAAUGGUAGAAUAUUUGCCUAGCAUGCAUAAGGACCUAGGUUCAAUUUUCAGUAUUGUCU